rnacentral:rRNA from 1 species
UGCAAGUCGAGGGGCAUCAGUUUGGUUUGCUUGCAACCAAAGCUGGCGACCGGCGCACGGGUGAGUAACACGUAUCCAACCGUGCCUCAUACUCGGGGAUAGCCUUUCGAAAGAAAGAUUAAUAUCCGAUAGGCAUAUAUUUCCCGCAUGGGUUUUAUAUUAAAGAAAUUCGGUAUGGAGAUGGGGAUGCGGUUCCAUUAGUUUGUUGGGGGGUAACGGGCCCACCAAGACUACGAUGGAUAGGGGGUUCUGAGAGGAAGGUCCCCACAUUGGAACUGAGACACGGUCCAAACUCC